ACGGGAGGCAGCAGUGGGGAAUAUUGCACAAUGGGCGAAAGCCUGAUGCAGCUAUGCCGCGUGUAUGAAGAAGGCCUUAGGGUUGUAAAGUACUUUCAUCGGGGAGGAAAAAACAAAACUAAUAAUUUUAUUUCUUGACGUUACCCGAAAAAGAAGCACCGGCUAACUCCGUGCCAGCAGCCGCGGUAAUACGGAGGGUGCUAGCGUUAAUCAGAAUUACUGGGCGUAAAGAGCACGUAGGUGGUUUUUUUAAAGUCAGAUGUGAAAUCCCUGGGCUUAACCUAGGAACUGCAUUUUGAAACUGAAAUACUAGAGUAUCGUAGAGGGAGGUAGAAUUCUAGGUGUAGCGGUGAAAUGCGUAGAUAUCUGGAGGAAUACCUGUGGCGAAAGCGGCCUCCUAAACGAAUACUGACACUGAGGUGCGAAAGCGUGGGGAGCAAACAGGGAUUAGAUACC
rnacentral:rRNA from 1 species